ACCUAGCGAUAAUUAAGUGUUUUGGGACCAUGUAGGGCAUUUAUAAAAGAUGGAGCAACUUAUUCUCACUGCCACAUCGCUCAAAGUGGAAAUACUGGCCAUUCUUUUGUCAGACUACGCUUAAACAUGUGUGGGGGUUCACCAUGAAGCUUCUAUGUGGGCCAUUAAGGGACUUUUGGGCUUUUGUAACAGGUGACGAAGACUGGAGAACAAUCAAAACUGCCGGCCAUCACAGAGCAACAGAUGGAGGUGCACAACAGGAUAUUACCACUAAGAGGAUUCCUCUUUCUUUGCCUGUCACUCUGGACUUUUUUUUGUGGCGACAGACUCUUUCAUCGUGACCCAGCUCGACUGGCUUACUGGAAGUGGUGUAGAGUUUGUCGGUUAAGCCCUCUGAAACCCGCCACUACGCAUGUUGACCUGCUUGGCAAACAGAAAAUCCCGAUCGAGUCUGCUGCGAAUAACAUUAAAAUAAGCAACCAGGUGGGAUUAGAAAGUCCUCCUAGUGUCUUGAGUCCCUGAACUCUGACCUUUCGCUCAGAACGCUGAGGAGGAUGCCGUGAAGCUGCUGACAUUAAAAUCGAUCCCUGUCAACACGCUGCCAUUCUUGAUACCACAAGGGACAUUGACAACUGUGGCUGGUGUGAAGACCUAGAGACAAGGACACACAUCUCUGGUGAGAUGGAGAAGACGGGUGGUGAGGAGAGUGUGAGAGAAUUUGUAGGUCUUCAUGCAUUUACCAGUCACUUUUCAGUCUCGGCUGCUUCCUGGUGAGACUUCAGGGACACAGAGGGUUUAUGGGUUCACAUUUAAGAAUAUAUUAAUAAUUUGAUUAAAAGGUGCAUAAUGAAAGACGGAUCUUAUAUUCAUUAUUUAUUCAUCUUACAUAUAUAUUAUAUAUUCAUCAUUCAGAGAAAAACUCCUUUAACUCUUCUAUUGAACUUAAAUAUGUCAUUUUGCGAAUACAGAAAUAUAUAGUUUUAUAACUGAAAUUCUGUUUUGGCUUUGUAUAGUACUGAUGUAUUAUCAGAAUAUUUCUUGUUUACUUUUUUCCUGUCUUGUCUUGUUAUUCAACAUGUAGCAUUGUCUUGUAAUCGUAUGGGUUAAAUGUUUCUCUUCACACAGAUAAAAACUAACCAACUACAGUAUAUUUCUUUAUUAUAUAAUGUAGAAAGAGGGUUGAGAUGCAGAAUUACAAUUAAUUUACUGUGGGGUUUCUCAGUGCCUUGUUUUCAAAAUGAGAUAUCAUAUCAAAAUUAUAUUUGCAUAAGUAAUGAAUUAAAAUGCUUUGAAACUG